GUCUUUUAGAAAUUUAUAUUAAAAGUUUAAUCUGCCCAAUGAUUACAUUAAAUGGCCGCGGUAAUUUGACCGUGCAAAGGUAGCAUAAUAAUUAGUCUUUUAAUUGAAGUCUAGAAUGAAAGAUUGGAUGAGAAAAUAACUUUCUUUUAAUUAAAAUUAAAAUUUAAUUUUUAAGUGAAAAAGCUUAAAUAAAUUAAAGGGACGAUAAGACCCUAUAGAGCUUUAUAUUAAUAAAAAUAUUUAGAUUAAAUUAAAUAAAUAUUAAUAUUUAAUUGGGGUGAUUUAUAAAUUUAUAAAACUUUAUAUAAAAAAAUCAUAAAUAAAUGAAAUAAUGAUCCAGUAAUACUGAUUAAAAGAUAAAGUUACCUUAGGGAUAACAGCGUAAUUUACUUGGAGAGUCCAAAUCUAUAAGUAAGCUUACGACCUCGAUGUUGGAUUAAGAUAAGAUAAGGGGGUAGGUUCUCUUAAUCUAGGUCUGUUCGACCUUUAAAUUCUUACA
rnacentral:rRNA from 1 species